rnacentral:tRNA from 1 species
GUGAGUAUAGCUCAGUGGUAGAGUGUGUGCCUGGCAUGCAUGAGGUCCUGGGUUCAAUUCCCAGUGUAUCUA